CGCCUAACACAUGCAAGUCGAACGAAGUAGCAAUACUUAGUGGCAGACGGGUGAGUAACAUGUAGGUAUCUGCCCUUUGGCCUGGAAUAACACGAGGAAACUUGUGCUAAUACCGGAUAAGUCUUUACGGAGAAAGCUUUAUGCACCAUUGGAUGAGCCUGCACUUGAUUAGUUUGUUGGUGGGGUAAUGGCCUACCAAGACUGUGAUCAAUAGCUGAUUUGAGAGGAUGAUCAGCCACAUUGGGACUGAGACACGGCCCAAACUCCUACGGGAGGCAGCAGUGGGGAAUCUUGCACAAUGGAGGAAACUCUGAUGCAGCGAUGCCGCGUGAGUGAAGAAGGCCCUUGGGUUGUAAAGCUCUUUCGUCGGGGAAGAAAAUGACUGUACCCGAAUAAGAAGG
rnacentral:rRNA from 1 species